GGGGCGGCGGGAAAGGGGCGGAGAGGAUAGCUUAGGCUCUGGCGGGCGGCGGGACUGGCAGAACCUGCGGGCUAGGUGGGUGGCUCGCCAGCCUGGACGGAGGGAAAUGAGGACUGCCGGUCCCGGGCGCGAGUAGGCGCGUGGAGUCCAGGGGCUCCGCCGCCGCGCCUCCUUCUCCUCCUGCAGCUGGAGACUGCACAGCGGCGGGCGCACCAGCAGCAACGACGACCCUGCGCGCAGGUGGCAGUGUAGAAGCCAAACCGGGAGCUUCCAGAAGUGGGUUCUGAAAGAGUCCCAUGUACAUGAGUAAGCAAGCACAGGAAUCUGAAAAGCCACAGAUGGAGAAACUGAGUCCCGAAGGGUUAUAACAUCCUUGAAGUUAUACAAAGAACUGAAGUAACAUCUGGCUUGUCUAGGAGAUCAAGAUGAGAAAGACUUGUUGAUUGACUCCCUCUUAAAGAGAAAUGCUUUUGCUCAGCAUUGUUGGCUUAUUUCUAUAUAUUCAUCUUCAAGUUUGCUGACUCAUAUCCAUGAUGCCAUUGAGCCCAUCCCGGAAUGAAAUGCAGAUAACUCUUAGAAAACUUUUGUAGGAAAAGUGCCUCGUGUGAUCUGGAACAAAGACGUUUUAUAAUCAGACUUAUCAAGCUGCGAAGAGGGAGUUUUAGAGACGGAAGCAGCAGCAUUCUGUCACCAGGAAAUACUGCUUUAUCCAGAAUUGGUAAGUGAAAAGUGGCAUUGCUCCCUAAUAGAUAUCAUAUGUGCAUGUGGGAAUUGAAAAGUUGUUCACAGACCCCUAACAACGGUGUUGGACAGAGAACACAUAAACAGUGAGAAGGUCUAAAGAGCAGCAGAGAAUACCGCAUAAAGACUGAGAAACAGCCAGGUAAUUAACAAAAAUGAGCUGAGUGCUAUCAGUUCAGCUAAACAUAUGUAAUACAGCUAGAUUUGGUCGUUUUAUUUUUUCUUGUUUAGGAGGAGAAACAAAAUCAGAAAAGGCUGUCUAGUAGAGUUGGGACAUUAACUUUCCAUAGAUGUAGAUUUCCAUUUAGUCUGAUGUAGCAUGUAUGAAAUUUGAAGAGAUGCUUUCAGAAUUAGUCUACUUGCCCUCCUUUCCUUUCGUCUACAUUAGGAUGUCAAGUAUUUAGUUAGAACUUUACAAGAUAAAAGUUAUACAAAAUGAAAGUCCAAGUAAUGCAUCGGAAACACCUCCUCCUGAUUGGGAAGGGUAGAUUACAAUGGCAGUAGAUUUUUUUUUUUCUUACACUUGUGUCAUGAAUUUUAAGUUUGGUCUACUUGAUUACAUUAGUACAGUAAAGGGUGGUUAUUUGUAUCUAUAUAGUUCAUGACUUUUGAGAGAUCGUGAUUAGUAGUUCUUAUUGGUUUGGUAUGCAUGUGCCUGCCUAUCUCUCUUUCCCUGAAAUGUUAAAUUCUGUUUUCUAAUCUUGAAUCUGAGCUGCCUCUAUGUUUAAGGGUUCUAAAAAAGACAAUAAAGCUUUGAAUACCUGUGUUAUAUACAACACGCUCUUGUUCAUGAUAUAUAAGGUAAAAGAAUUUUAUAUUAGGCAUGAAUGUCUAGUUUCUUAAGAAUGUACCGAAAAGGUUGACUAGAAUAAGAAAAAGAACAUUAGAAUAGAAUGGUGGGUGACUGCCUGAUUUUACCAGUUUCUUAUUGGUCCAUAGAAGUAAUCAUGUGAUGUCUACUUAUAGAACCAGAUGAAAAAAAUUUUUGUUCUUUAAAUGCUAACAAUUAUAUAGGAAAUUUUAGCGAUCUUCAUUUAUUAAUUUGAAUAUAUAAUUGUAACUGUUAUUAACAGAAUGGGGUAAUUUAGAAAAUAAUAAUUCUUUCUUUCUUUUUAAGCUAAAUUGGAAAUUGAAUCGACUUCUGUGACUUUUGGUUCCUGUUCUGUUGCUUUCAAAAUCUUAAAAUCCUUAACUCAAAAGGGAAAAUGUAUAAUAAAACAGGAUAGCAGUGCUGAAAUUUCUCUCUCUUGGCAGUGGAGGGCAAUGAGGGUGGGGGAAGGAGAUGAAUAUAGUGAGAUAUAUUAAUUGUUUCCCCCCCCCUUGUAUACUUGGAUAAAUUUUAAGAUCAUUUUUCUCAGACUAGCAGCUCUCAAGACUUUUGCAUAAGUAUUUAUUCUUAAAGAAAUAGAAAGACAAGAUAAGCACGGCUCUUAAGGGCAGGUCCUCCAGUAAGUCAGGAAAUUGGUGAUCCAAACUUGUGAAUAUAACAAGUCAAUUUGAUUUAAUAUGUGGCAUUAGUUUUCUUGAAGCACACAAAUUUAUAGGUUUUUAGAGUCGUGAAGGCAGAAAAACGGCAACAAAGCAUUAAGGUAUUUACAGGUAAUUUAUAUUCAACUGCUAGCUUCUGUUUUCAACUCUGUAUUUCAUGUAAGCAAAUACUUGGGGAGAACAUGGUGAUUUCAUAAUCUGCAUAAAUAUUGCCGUGCCUGUUGGAAAAAAGCCUCUCAUUUUUAGGUUUUCCUCAUCCGAUUUUGAAUGACAAAAUGUGAUAGAAGCAGGCUGGAACAGUAAAUGCUAGAAAGUAUAUCCCAUAAGAAUUAUCUGAGAACUUCAUGUUUUCAAUUCUCUUUGCUGUUCUCUGUUCUCAAUUUAAUAUUUAAAAGUACAUCGAAAAUGAAUAUCGUUGCUUGCUCUGAUUUCUCCUCUGGGGUCAUUGAGAGUCUUCACAUUUUUGUAUACCUUAUUAAAAGAUAUUAAUGGCAUGCAUAUGCCUUUGUCUUUGUGGGUAUGUAAAGCAACAAAUGAAGGGAUCUAGUUAAGUGACAGACCUCAAAACAAUUUCUCUGAAAUAGUAUUUGAAUGUGCAUAUUUGGGAAUGUAAAUGCUUUCCCUUUGGGCUUGUUUCUUAAGUUUUUGGUGUAGUACACGGUUUUACCCAAUUAAAUUUUUCUUUUGAGGUCUGUGUUUGUAUGGGUGUAUAUAUUUGAUUGGAAGGGGAAGUUUUAAUCACUAGCAAAAACAAGUGGCUGUUUGUUAGAACCCAGAUAAGCCUCACAGUGUUGUUCCUAUGACAACUGAGUAGUUGGGUGUUGAAAUGUAGCUUUAAGUUCUUGGUUUGGAAAUGUCAUUCAGACCUCCCACUGUAGUCUCAUUGAGUAGGAGGAUAAUGAGAAGGGGAAAAACCAUGAAGCAACAUAAGUAUCUUCGUUCAUUUCAUGUCUUCCUAACUUGCCUUUGUGUACAGGAUCGCCAUGGGAGUGGUAAACAGGUCUUGAACAAAGCAGUACUUCAAUAAAAAAUACAUGGAAAGGGUUCAGAAAAGUUGGGGAAGAUAAAUAACAACACAUGGGCCCGAUAAAGAGGCAGGAGACAUUGGCUUCUAUGGGUUUGUGCAAAGCCUUUUACCCAGUACUGACCAGCAGUGAGAACAUCUUGAACCAGUUAUUGUAUAGCUCUUCAAGAGCUGUGAAUUUCCUUAAAAUGCAAUGUGGAGAAAAUUCCUUUGGUAGCAGGAUGGUUUACCACUUUGGCAUAACAUUUAUUCAUCUCCCCCGGGCAGACUACAGAGGAUACUGUGUUCUUUAAGGCACAAGUUUUUAAACCAGUUCUUCAUUUAUCGUUUAACAGCUUUUGUCUUUUUUCUAUGGGAACAAGGUCAUACUAGUAAAAUAGUGAUAAAAUUUUAAGCAUUUUAUAGUAUAUUCAAAAAGUGCUUUUGUAAAGUACUUAGAUUGUUGGAGACUUGUAUGUGGAACUUGUUUGUGGAUGGAGAAUUUAUGGAGCACUGUAUUUGAGGAGAGGGAUUGUUUAAUGUUUGACAUAGCUUAAUUAUGCAGUUGUCGAUUUGCCAUGUCUGAAGGUCUUCCUAUUUCCUACUCCUAAAUGGUUUUAAGCAUUUAUUUGGUCACUAGAGCCACUUGAAGUUAGAAAGGAAAAGAUGUCAGUGGGAUUAGUCCCUUACUUAAUAAAUACACGCCCCCCCAUCUCUUCCAUAAUCCAAAAAGCUCUGAAAAUCAAAAGAUUUUCAUGUAACAAAUUUGGCAGCAAAUCCUGACCUGAACCGAUGUGAAACUAAUGAUAUUCAUUGUUUAGCUCAUUCAGAAUGAAUCUUUGUAUGUUUUACUGUAGAAGUAUUAAUGUGUUUGAUCAUGGAGUAUAGUUCCAGACUCCCCUAGAGGUUUAUAUACUGUGUUGAAUAGUCAACCUAUUACCUUUAUGAAAUAAUAAUAAUAGUCAAUCUGAAUGUCAGGCAAGCGUUUGUGGACCCAUAAUUACUGAUGUACAUUAAGCUCAUAUUAUAUGCCAGGUACCAUUCUAAAUGAAUCACUGGCAUCCUAAGAACAGUGUCUGGCACAUAGUAGGUACUUAGUAGACACGUUUUGGUAGGAAAUGCUUUACACUUACUAACUUCUUUAACUCACAGAAACAGUAUGUGGCCAAUGUGCUUGUUAUCUCAUUUUUACGUGGGGAAACCGAUGCUCAGAGAGGUGAAGCAGUCUGCCCAAAGUAACACAGGCAGGAAGUAGUGGAGCCAAGAUUUGAAAGCAGGCAGUCUAGCUGCAGUCUGCUCUUAAUGAUUCUGAUUCAGUUACAAGAGAGGACUGGAGACGUGGCGCUGGACUUCUUAACUGAGUCAGAGGCGAUAUUUGGGUGAUUUACUUUAUUCCUAGUCACCCUAUGUCCCUUAGGAUCAAAAGCUGAUGAUAUCACCACUAUGGUCAUUAACCAGGGCUUUGGUGGAAUGCUUAUAACAGGUUCUCCUGGGUGGGAGUGCUGGAAUUCCAGGGGUCUGAACGCUCUUCACAGGCUUCCCAAGGUGAUCUCCGUCAGCCUGACUUCUUCAUCUUGAAAUUGAGACAUGGGAAAUAACCCUUUCCUUAACCCUAAGGAAGUUUUCUUGAACAGUGGGAAAAACCUUUCUGUAGACGUUCCUUAAACCCCUUACCCAGCAGGAGGUGUGGAAUCAAUAAAGAGGGCAUGGGUCACCUGAGGGUGUGAGCUCCCUGGCUUGGGAACUACAUUGGGACACAGCGAAAGCCCCUCGGGAGAAAUCAGGCAGCCCGUGGAACUUUAGCUGCAUGACUCUUUGAAUUCACAAAAGGAGGCCUUUAACAGUACUUCCCAACAAAUCAAAUGUAUACAAGGUGUGCCUCAAAUCCCUAUAUAGUCCUAGGGAUUAAAAAAAAUCAUUUGCAACUGACAGCAGCUUCCCCAUUCUAUACCCCAGCUUUUAUCCUUAUUCCUGCUUAAUUUUUCUUCUUAGCACUUCUCUUGUCUGACAUAUUGUAUGUUUUACUUAUUUAGUCAUUUGGCAUUUUGGUUAGACACUAGCGGUAUUGUUUUCUUGGAGUAAAUACAAAGGUCCUAGAUUUAAUUUCUCUUUGAUGUUCAUCUUCCAACUCAUUCCUUCCUAUCAAUCUCAGACUGCUGUAAGUAAAUGACUUUUUUGCCCAGCUUUUUUUACUGUUAGUUAUCAUAUUUGUUUUUCUUAAGCUGUACUGAUUAUACAGUCUGAUUUUGGAGAAUAGAUGUUUCUUCAUUCAGGAGGGCGAAUUGAGCCAAAUUUGAAUAUAAUCAUUGGGCAACAAAUCCAGAAGUUUAAAUUACUGAGGAGAACAUGGAAAGCAAACACUUGCAUUUUAUGAACUACCUUGAAUUUAGAUAGACAACUGGGGGUAGCAACUGUAUAUGACAUGUUUUUGGGGUAAGACCUCUUAAACCGACCUACUGCCUAUUGUUUUCAUUUGAAAAAUAAAUCAAUUUUAAACAAUUAUUCUACACAUUAAAGACUGUAAGUGAUUUAACCUUGGAUAUUUCCUGAAUCAAGUUUUUAAAAUCCUCAACUCUCACCUAUUGCUUUUCAACCCCAUAUUUAUUCCGGUUUAUUCUUUCCAACGUAUUUAGGAUAAUCUAAAACAUAAAGUAAAAAACCCCACAUAUAUUAUUAACUAUAAACAACGCGGUUAUGUAAAUGCAUCAUUUUAGUUGACUUUUUUUUCUUUGGACUAUUUUCUUUUCCUUUUUUUUUUGAGACGGAGACUUGCACUGUCGCUGGGGCUGGAGUGCAGUGGUGCUAUCUUGGCUCACUGAAACCUCCACCUCUCGGAUUCACACGAUUCUCCUGCCUCAGCCUCCUUAGUAGCUGGGAUUACAGGCGCACACUGCCACGUCUGACUAAUUUUUGUUUGUUUGUUUAAAGUAGAGAUGGGGUUUCACUAUGUUGGCCAGGCUGGUCUUGAACUCCUGACCUCGUAAUCCGCCCACCACGGCCUUCCAAAGUGCGAGGAUUACAGGUGUGAGCCACUGUGCCUGACCUAGACUAAUUCUUAAAGGAACGAAUUAGAUACAUAUAAAAGUUGAAUGUACUAUGCUUUUGUAAGUCAGUGUAAUGAUAGAGACAUUUUGUUUUCUUAGCUAUAUUUUAUCACAAAAUAGUUCUAGUUACUUUUCUUUUAAAUGGUUAAUCUAAUAAAGUAAUAACUUGCUUUUUAAAACAUAGUAUAUAACUUUUCUUUAAGGUAGAGGAUGGAAUUAUUGACUAUGAAGAGUAGGCUAAGGUUUUAUUUGAAAUUAUCUCCCCUUUCUGCCAUGGAAGAGUUUAAUUCCCCUAAUGUGCUUACUGUAUUGAAAGUCCGUUGUUGGUGUUGGUAUUGGAAGAAAGCUUAGUUUUUCUGCAUUUCCUUAAAGGAGAGAGAAGAAAGAUUUUUAAACAUGAAAAUCCAUUUUUUUUUUCUUGAUCAGAAUUUAUGCAAUGUAUUGGAAGUGAGACUAGAGUCCUUAAAGUUGAGAGAAACGGUAAGUCUGCACACACGCAGCAAAACUUUUCAGGGAAUUUGCAGAGUUCAACGACCUGAAAAAAAUCUUCAGACAUUUUCCAGAGAGUGUUAGUCCAUGAAAGUGGUACCCAUGACCCCAAGAGGGUGCACACUGUCAGCCACCAUUGAAGUAGUUUACUCCCUAAGAGGCCCAGGCUUUGGAAAUAGUAGAUUUGUGCCUUAAGCUCCCCUUGCCCCUUGCUACCUGAGUAAGCUACUCCGUCUAUUUCACUAAGCCCCAGAUAACACAUGUUAAGCACAUGCUGUGAAACCUGGAGUAAUGGUGCUUAACACACUUUUAGGAAGAGACUUUUUCAGUUUAGUCCUAAAGCCUGUAGAUGAGGCCGGGCGCGGUGGCUCAUGCUUGUAAUCAUAGCACAUUGGGAGGCUGAGGCGGGCAGAUCAUGAGGUGAGGAGUUCAAGACCAGCCUGGCAGUUAUGCCCAUUUCAUAGGUGAACACACGGAGGCACAGAGAAGUAAAGAAGCUUACUUAGGGCCACUUAUCUGUCACGGAACCAGAAUCUAAAUCGAAAUAGGCUGUUGCCAAUACGGAUGGUAAGUACAUGUAUUUCUGGUAGGAGAGCAGAAUAGAAGUUGACUGAUCCUGAAAGUCUCAGAAAUGGUGUUCUCAUUUCUAUUCUGCAAAGUAUCACGUCUUCUAGGCCUACCUCUCUCAAUAUUGAAAUACAAAAUUAACUUUUUCUGCUUUUUAUUUUACAAAUCAACGGGAACAGUCUUAGUCAUUUGUGUUUUAUGAGUUUUAAUUAGGCCACGGCAGUCCAGGAGGGGAAUUCCUUGUUUUCAGUUAAUCUCAUAUACUAACAAGUUUACUCAUGCAAC